CAAAGGGGUGCCCCGGUGGGCUGAGAUUAUACCCUGAGAACCUGAUGCAGUUAGUACUGCCGAAGGGAUUGUUACU
rnacentral:ncRNA from 1 species